rnacentral:rRNA from 1 species
GACGAACGCUGGCGGCGUGCUUAACACAUGCAAGUCGAACGGAAAGGCCCUGCUUUUGUGGGGUGCUCGAGUGGCGAACGGGUGAGUAACACGUGAGUAACCUGCCCUUGACUUUGGGAUAACUUCAGGAAACUGGGGCUAAUACCGGAUAGGAGCUCCUGCUGCAUGGUGGGGGUUGGAAAGUUUCGGCGGUUGGGGAUGGACUCGCGGCUUAUCAGCUUGUUGGUGGGGUAGUGGCUUACCAAGGCUUUGACGGGUAGCCGGCCUGAGAGGGUGACCGGCCACAUUGGGACUGAGAUACGGCCCAGACUCCUACGGGAAGCAGCAGUGGGGAAUAUUGCACAAUGGGCGGAAGCCUGAUGCAGCAACGCCGCGUGCGGGAUAACGGCCUUCGGGUUGUAAACCGCUUUCGCCUGUGACGAAGCGUGAGUGACGGUAAUGGGUAAAGAGGCACCGGCUAACUACGUG